GGUCCCCCCGCCUUGCCUUUUUUUCCUUUUUCCCCCCGACGAAUCGUUAGGCGGUGCAACCGUCGCUCAGGGAUUGUGUUCCGGUGGCGUGCGGCGCCGGUGCCUCCUUCGCCGGCAGCACGAUGAGCGCAGCGAAUGGUAAACUCCCUGCAUGCGAAAGGGGCAGCAGGCAGCUUCAUUUUAGAGCGUGUGUCACAGCUCGCUGCAAAUGGCUCUCCUCCGGAUGCUAGAGCAGCUCCCCAGCUAAGGCAAGCAGAACAAGCAGGCGGUCGUACCCGGAUCGUGGCUCUAAGGUGGGCGGGAAAAUGUAGCUGAAGACCUGUGGGGGGCGGAAGAGUAGCCUGACACCUCGGAGCCUCUGGUUCUCCCUGUGGAGCAGGGCAGAGGAGGAGGAGGAGGCGGCGUGGUGGCGGCGUUGAAGGGCCUCAGCUGGCAGAACGCCACGCCUCUACCACCAUGUCCAAGAAGGCGCCCGGCGGGCGAGCCAAAGGGGAGAGGCCCGAUGCCCUCGUCGCAUUGCAGGCCGCCAACGAGGAGCUGAGGGCAAAGCUCACCGACAUCCAAAUCGAACUGCAACAGGAAAAGAGUAAGGUCAGCAAGCUGGAGCGAGAGAAGACCCAGGAGGUGCGACGUGAGCAGCACAAGUCCACGGUGGUGCUGACGGAGCUACGGGCCAAGCUGCAUGAAGAGAAGAUGAAGGAGCUGCACGGCGCACGGGAGGCCUUGCUGCGGCAGCACGAGUCCGAGCUGGUGCGAGUCAUCCGAGUCAAAGACGGCGAGAUCCAGCGGCUGCAGGCACUGGUCAACGCCCUGCGCGACGGCUCCACGGACAAGGUGCGAGGGGCAUUACUGGCCGAGGCCCGCGAGGAGGCCCGCCGUGCCUUCGAAGGGGAGCGUGGCCGCAUGCAACAGGAGAUACAGGAACUGAAGGGCGUCAAGCGGCAGAUGGAGGAGGCGCUCACCGUGGCCGUGCAGGCCGACAGGAUCAAGGCCGCUGAGAUCCGCAGCGUCUACCACCUGCACCAGGAGGAGAUCGGCCGCAUCAAGAGGGAGUGCGAAAGGGAGAUCCGCAGGCUGGAACUCAGUGAGGAGACGAAGUCCUUGGGGGCAGUUAUCUGCAGUUGGUCCUUGUUUCAGGAACAGCAGUUGGACGAAAAGGAUGCCAGGCGCUUCCAGCUCAAAAUCGCCGAACUAAGUGCCAUCAUACGCAAACUGGAGGACCGCAAUGCACUGCUGUCAGAAGAGCGGAAUGAGCUGCUGAAGCGCCUCCGGGAAGCAGAGGCACAGUACAAACCGCUGCUGGACAAGAACCAGCGGUUGAGCAGGAAAAACGAGGAGCUAAGCCACACCUUAAGACGCAUGGAGAACAAGCUGAGAUUCGUCACCCAGGAGAACAUCGAGAUGAGGGAGAAAGUGGGGACCAUAAGGCGACCGAGUUCUCUGAAUGACCUUGACCAAAGUCAGGAGGAGAGAGAGAUUGAGUUUCUCAGACUCCAGGUUGUGGAGCAGCAGAACAUCAUUGAUGAUCUGUCAAAGGCCCUGGAAACAGCUGGAUAUGUGAAGAGUGUAAUAGAACGUGACAUGCUGCUUCGAUAUCAGCGACCCAGGAAGAAGCUGAUAAAGCCCUGUAAGAAACCUGUGGUGGAGACAUUCUUUGGGUACGAUGAAGAAGCUUCCCUGGACUCCGACGGCUCCUCUAUAUCCCAUCACACGGACCGCACGCCAUGCACCCCAGACGAUGAUCUGGAGGAAAUGGUGGACCAGGGCAUGAUCAAAGAGGAGAUAGACUUGCGGUUUCGCCAGCUGACCAUGGAGUACCAGGCACUUCAGCGGGCCUACGCUUUGCUGCAGGAGCAGGUCGGGGGAACAUUUGAUGCCGAGAGGGAAGUGAAGACCAGGGAACAGCUGCAAGCAGAACUCAUUCGCUACCAGACAAGAAUCGAAGAUCUGGAGAGUGCUUUGUCGCAACAAGGACAGGACGUGAAGUGGAUUGAGGAGAAGCAAGCCUUGUAUCGAAGGAACCAGGAGCUUGUGGAUAAGAUCAAACAGAUGGAGGGGGAGGAAUCGCGCCUGAAACACGACAUUCAGGACGCAAAAGACCAAAACGAGCUCCUCGAGUUCCGCAUCCUAGAGCUCGAGGAGCGCGAGAGACGGUCCCCAGCCAUCAACUUCCACAGCGUCCACUUCAAAGAGGGCGUGAGCCCCCUGCAGGUGUACUGUGAGGCGGAGGGCGUCACUGACAUUGUCAUCACCGAACUCUUGAAAAAGCUGGACAUUCUGGGGGAUAACGCCGUAAGUAACUUAACCAACGAGGAGCAGGUGGUCGUCAUUCAUGCCAGGACUGUUUUAACCUUAGCAGAAAAGUGGCUCGAGCAAAUAGAGGUCACCAAAUCGGCACUGCAGCAGAAGAUGCUGGACAUCGAGAGUGAAAAGAACCUUUUCAGCAAGCAGAAAGGAUACCUGGACGAAGAGCUCGACUACAGGAAGCAGUCGAUGGAUCAUGCGCACAAGAGGAUCCUCGAGCUGGAGGCCAUGCUGUUCGACGCCCUGCAGCAGGAGCCAGGCGCCAAGAUGUCUGAGCUGCUGUCGGAGGAGGAGCGGGACACUCUGCAGGAGGCCGUGGAGCAGUGGAGGCGACAGGUGAUGAGCGAGCUGCGCGAGCGCGACGCGCAGAUCCUGCGGGAGAGGAUGGAGCUGGUGCAGCACGCGCAGCAGAGAAUCAAAGAGCUCGAAGAAUGGAUAGAGGCGCAGAAACGGCAGAUAAAGGAACUGGAGGAAAAGCCUUCAUUCUUUGGUCGUAGUCCUCCGCGAAGCCGCAACAACAGCCCCCCAGGUCUGCAAGCAGUUUUCCGCAUCCUGUGAAGGAGACCAAGACUUUGGCCCUCAUUCCCCCCCCCCCCCCCCCAAUUCUCUUCUUGACUCUGGAUUCUUCCUCUCUGAAUUCGUGCGGAGAAGCAGAGCAGCGGUGUACCCACGACUUCCAAGAUGGGAAACUAGAAGGACAUUUUUUUUCCCGCCCGAGUGCGAACCCCCGUUGUGAGAAACGGUGCGCGGGAACGCGCGUGCGACGAGCUCCCGACGGGGCGAACCCGCCAUCUUCUUGCAUGGAACUUAAGGACUCUUAAAAAAAUCAAGCUCGUUCUUCUUCUCCCUGCUAAGCAGGCGGAUCUCCUGGCCGCUUCCGUGUGGAAGCAUGAAGACGCGAGAGACAGACGGGCCCUCGCGCUCGGCCACUGUUUACACGCUCGCGGCGAGGGCUCGUGCGGCCGCCGCGCAGCCCACGGUGGAACACGUCCCGGGUCCUCCUUUAUUCACGAUCCAAGAUAAACUUAUGCCAAACAGCGGAGCUACGAGAAAUAAAAUCUGCACCCCUCCACACUACCGGCAGUUUAAAAUCGACCAAUGAGCCAAGAACAUCAGUCAGCCAGCAGGGGGACAAGAUCAGCAGCAGAAAAAGAGAACAAUGUCUGACCAGCUGUUUCCACUGCCAUGCAGUCCUGCCAACGAUAAGAUGCUGCUGACCGAUCUUGGGCGCUCACUGUAGGACCGCUCCAUUCUGACUCCUUCACAAGCAACAUCAACUUAUUGAGUCAAGGCUUCGGCUGUGCUGCUGGUUCCGGGAACACUGUCCCACGAGAGAUUCACAGCCUUUAGAUGAAAAGGACCCAUCCAUGACUCAGCAGCCACACACGUCUCUCGGUCUUCUCAGAUGCCAGUGGUUGUAUUGUCUUUUGUUGACAGCUUAGCCGUGCUCAGUGCGUACCUUGACCGCGCUCUGCAAUACAAGUCAUUUAACAACCACAGAUACCACGCAGCCCUAUUCAAACCUUGACCAACUCGCCGUUCUGCAUCAGCUGUUGAGCAGCUGGCCAAACACUCCACAUCUUCACCAAGCGAGACAAAGACUGCAAAACCGUACAGCACUUUCAGAGGUCAGCCCAUUCGGCCGCCACGUUUCUUGUGUUAAAUUAAAACACAGAUCAACUCUGUUCCGACUGUUAGGUUCACCCGUGUGAUUUGCAGUGUGCCACUCACUCCUUCUGGUAUAUUUGCUUGACAGCUUUACCACUGUAAAGGGAUUACAGUGGGCUCUCAUUCUCAUCACUCCUGCUCACCUCUACCACAGUUUGUGUGUUUCCAGGCACAGAACGCUUAAGGAAGAAAAAAAGUUGACUGGUUGACUGUACUAUGCAGGAACCCCUAUAAUUGCCUUAAUUUCAAUUAUUUUUAUGAGUAUCUCGUGAAUAUGUACCUUGGCCUUCCUGGGAAAAUAAAGGUGGGAUAUG